CCUACGGGUGGCAGCAGUGAGGAAUAUUGGUCAAUGGUCGGGAGACUGAACCAGCCAAGCCGCGUGAGGGAGGAAGGUACAGCGUAUCGUAAACCUCUUUUGUCAGGGAACAAAGACUGGGACGCGUCCACGGCUGAGUGUACCUGACGAAAAAGCAUCGGCUAACUCCGUGCCAGCAGCCGCGGUAAUACGGAGGAUGCGAGUGGUAUCCGGAUUUAUUGGGUUUAAAGUGUGCUCAGGCGGUCUGUUAAGUCAGCGGUCAAAGCCCGGGGCUCAACCCCGGCCCGCCGUUGAGACUGGCAGUCUCGAGUUGGAGAGAAGUAUGCGGAAUGCGCGGUGUAGCGGUGAAAUGCAUAGAUAGCGCGCAGAACUCCGAUUGCGAAGGCAGCAUGCCGGCUCCACACUGACGCUGAGGCACGAAAGCGUGGGUAUCGAACAGGAUUAGAUACCCCAGUAGUC
rnacentral:rRNA from 1 species